AGCAGCCGCGGUAAUUCCAGCUCCAAUAGCGUAUAUUAAAGUUGUUGCAGUUAAAAAGCUCGUAGUUGAAUUUCGGGGUUCUACCGUUGGUCGGGCAAUUGUCUGUACUGGCGUGUAGAAUUUCUACCUUCUGGGGAACCAUCAUGUUAUUAAUUUAGCGUGGUGGGAAACCAGGACCUUUACCUUGAAAAAUUAGAGUGUUCAAAGCAGGCUUACGUCUGAAUACAUUAGCAUGGAAUAAUAAAAUAGGACGGUGGUCCUGUUUUGUUGGUUUCUGAAUCACCGUAAUGAUUAAUAGGGAUAGUUGGGGGCGUUAGUAUUCAAUUGUCAGAGGUGAAAUUCUUGGAUUUAUUGAAGACUAACUUCUGCGAAAGCAUUUGCCAAGGAUGUUUUCAUUAAUCAAGAACGAAAGUUAGGGGAUCGAAGACGAUCAGAUACCGUCGUAGUCUUAACCAUAAACUAUGCCGACUAGGGGUCGGACGAUGUUAAUUUUUCUUGACUCGUUCGGCGCCUUACGGGA
rnacentral:rRNA from 1 species